rnacentral:rRNA from 1 species
UUAGCAUAUCAAUAAGCGGAGGAAAAGAAACCAACAGGGAUUGCCCUAGUAACGGCGAGUGAAGCGGCAACAGCUCAAAUUUGAAAUCUGGCGUCUUUGGCGUCCGAGUUGUAAUUUGCAGAGGGCGCUUUGGCAUUGGCAGCGGUCCAAGUUCCUUGGAACAGGACGUCACAGAGGGUGAGAAUCCCGUACGUGGUCGCUAGCCUUUACCGUGUAAAGCCCCUUCGACGAGUCGAGUUGUUUGGGAAUGCAGCUCUAAAUGGGAGGUAAAUUUCUUCUAAAGCUAAAUACUGGCCAGAGACCGAUAGCGCACAAGUAGAGUGAUCGAAAGAUGAAAAGCACUUUGGAAAGAGAGUUAAAAAGCACGUGAAAUUGUUGAAAGGGAAGCGCUUGCAGCCAGACUUGCCUGUAGUUGCUCAUCCGGGUUUCUACCCGGUGCACUCUUCUAUAGGCAGGCCAGCAUCAGUUUGGGCGGUUGGAUAAAGGUCUCUGUCAUGUACCUCUCUUCGGGGAGAACUUAUAGGGGAGACGACAUGCAACCAGCCUGGACUGAGGUCCGCGCAUCUGCUAGGAUGCUGGCGUAAUGGCUGUAAGCGGCCCGUCUUGAAACACGGACCAAGGAGUCUAACAUCUAUGCGAGUGUUUGGGUGUCAAGCCCGAACGCGUAAUGAAAGUGAACGGAGGUGGGAACCUUUCGGGGUGCACCAUCGACCGAUCCUGAUGUCUUCGGAUGGAUUUGAGUAAGAGCAUAGCUGUUGGGACCCGAAAGAUGGUGAACUAUGCUUGAAUAGGGUGAAGCCAGAGGAAACUCUGGUGGAGGCUCGCAGCGGUUCUGACGUGCAAAUCGAUCGUCAAAUUUGGGCAUAGGGGCGAAAGACUAAUCGAACUAUCUAGUAGCUGGUUCCUGCCGAA